ACCAUAUACGCUAAGGAAAGGCAGCUUCAGGGAAUGUAACCUCUUCAGAACACAGAAAUAUUGCUUUAGACUCUACAAAUCUACCAGCCCUCACAGCCCAGCAAAGAGCCACACCCAGAGGAGCUUCACCAGGACCCCAUGAAAGGAAAAAAGAACUGCAAAUAAGUGGGAGUUCCAACACUUUACUUCUACCCUGGACCUUUGCACUCUCAACUUUGUCUCAAGACUAGAGCGCAUUGAAACAUGAUCAUGGAGGAUAGUGAUUGGGAAGGACAACUCAGCAUCAAGAACGCUUGACCUGUGCUUUCUCUUCCAAGAAUGAUCUUCAGGUUACAGGGGAUAAAACACAAACCAACUGGGAGUAGAAAUUGAAGGCGCUGCAGAGAUGAAGAUCAAAACCCAGCAAUUCCUUCCCUCGUGGAGCUUACGCUGUCCUACAAUAGUUCUUGGAUGGAGGCGAUGGAUGGCAAUAGCAGGCCUGGCACAGACU